rnacentral:rRNA from 1 species
GGAGGAAAGCAGGGGAUCGCAAGACCUUGCGCUUUUGGAGCGGCCGAUGUCUGAUUAGCUAGUUGGUAGGGUAAAGGCUUACCAAGGCAACGAUCAGUAGUUGGUCUGAGAGGACGGCCAGCCACACUGGGACUGAGACACGGCCCAGACUCCUACGGGAGGCAGCAGUGGGGAAUUUUGGACAAUGGGCGAAAGCCUGAUCCAGCCAUGCCGCGUGAGUGAAGAAGGCCCUCGGGUUGUAAAGCUCUUUCAGUCGAGAAGAAAAAAUUGCGACUAAUAAUCGCAAUUCAUGACGGUAUCGACAGAAGAAGCACCGGCUAACUACGUGCCAGCAGCCGCGGUAAUACGUAGGGUGCAAGCGUUAAUCGGAAUUACUGGGCGUAAAGGGUGCGCAGGCGGCCUUGUAAGUCAGAUGUGAAAUCCCCGGGCUUAACCUGGGAAUUG